GACGAACGCUGGCGGCGUGCUUAACACAUGCAAGUCGAACGGAAAGGCCAUGAUUUUGUGGGGUGCUCGAGUGGCAAACAGGUGAGUAACACGUGAGUAACCUGCCCUUGAAUUUGAGAUAAAUUAAGGAAACUGGGGCUAAUACCGGAUAGGAGCUCCUGCUGCAUGGUGGGGGUUGGAAAGUUUCGGCGGUUGGGGAUGGACUCGCGGCUUAUCAGCUUGUUGGUGGUGUAGUGGCUUACCAAUGCUUUGACGGGUAGCCGGCCUGAGAGGGUGACCGGUCACAUUGGGACUGAGAUACGUCCCAGACUCCUACGGGAGGCAGCAUUGGGGAAUAUUGCACAAUGGGCGGAAGCCUGAUGCAGCAACGCCUCUUGUGGGAUGACGGCCUUCUGGUUGUAAACCGCUUUCGCCUGUGACGAAGCGUGAGUGACGGUAAUGGGUAAAGAAGCACCGGCUAACUACGUG
rnacentral:rRNA from 1 species